rnacentral:rRNA from 1 species
AGCCAGGAUGUUGGCUUAGAAGCAGCCAUCAUUUAAAGAAAGCGUAAUAGCUCACUGGUCGAGUCGGCCUGCGCGGAAGAUGUAACGGGGCUAAACCAUGCACCGAAGCUGCGGCAGCGACACUGUGUGUUGUUGGGUAGGGGAGCGUUCUGUAAGCCUGUGAAGGUGUGUCGUGAGGCAUGCUGGAGGUAUCAGAAGUGCGAAUGCUGACAUAAGUAACGAUAAAGCGGGUGAAAAGCCCGCUCGCCGGAAGACCAAGGGUUCCUGUCCAACGUUAAUCGGGGCAGGGUGAGUCGACCCCUAAGGCGAGGCCGAAAGGCGUAGUCGAUGGGAAACGGGUUAAUAUUCCCGUACUUGGUGUUACUGCGAAGGGGGGACGGAGAAGGCUAUGUUGGCCGGGCGACGGUUGUCCCGGUUUAAGCGUGUAGGUGUGUGUUCCAGGUAAAUCCGGUUCACUUUAACACUGAGGCGUGACGACGAGGCACUACGGUGCUGAAGCAACAAAUGCCCUGCUUCCAGGAAAAGCCUCUAAGCAUCAGGUAACAUCAAAUCGUACCCCAAACCGACACAGGUGGUCAGGUAGAGAAUACCAAGGCGCUUGAGAGAACUCGGGUGAAGGAACUAGGCAAAAUGGUGCCGUAACUUCGGGAGAAGGCACGCUGACACGUAGGUGAAGUGAUUUACUCAUGGAGCUGAAGUCAGUCGAAGAUACCAGCUGGCUGCAACUGUUUAUUAAAAACACAGCACUGUGCAAACACGAAAGUGGACGUAUACGGUGUGACGCCUGCCCGGUGCCGGAAGGUUAAUUGAUGGGGUCAGCGCAAGCGAAGCUCCUGAUCGAAGCCCCGGUAAACGGCGGCCGUAACUAUAACGGUCCUAAGGUAGCGAAAUUCCUUGUCGGGUAAGUUCCGACCUGCACGAAUGGCGUAAUGAUGGCCAGGCUGUCUCCACCCGAGACUCAGUGAAAUUGAACUCGCUGUGAAGAUGCAGUGUACCCGCGGCAAGACGGAAAGACCCCGUGAACCUUUACUAUAGCUUGACACUGAACAUUGAGCCUUGAUGUGUAGGAUAGGUGGGAGGCUUUGAAGUGUGGACGCCAGUCUGCAUGGAGCCGACCUUGAAAUACCACCCUUUAAUGUUUGAUGUUCUAACGUGGACCCGUUACCCGGGUUGCGGACAGUGUCUGGUGGGUAGUUUGACUGGGGCGGUCUCCUCC